rnacentral:rRNA from 1 species
UCCGCCCGGAUAUUACAAGCACUAGCUUUAAACCCAAAGGACCUGACGGUGCCUUAGAUCCCCCUAGAGGAGCCUGUUCUAGAACCGAUUACCCCCGUUAAACCUCACCACUUCUGGCAAUAGCAGCCUAUAUACCACCGUCGCCAGUUUACCCUGUGAAGGCACAAAAGUAAGCAAAAUGGGUAACCCCCAGUACGUCAGGUCGAGGUGUAGCACACGAAGUGGGAAGAAAUGGGCUACAUUUUCUAAUAUAGAAUAAACGAAUACGCAAUAUGAAAAUUAAUGCUUGAAGGAGGAUUUAGUAGUAAAAGGGAA